rnacentral:rRNA from 1 species
UACGGGGGGGGCAAGCGUUGUUCGGAAUUACUGGGCGUAAAGCGCGCGUAGGCGGCUGGAUAAGUCGAUUGUGAAAGCCCCGGGCUCAACCUGGGAAUUGCAGUCGAGACUGUUCGGCUAGAGUGUGGGAGAGGGCAGUGGAAUUCCCGGUGUAGCGGUGAAAUGCGUAGAUAUCGGGAGGAACAUCAGUGGCGAAGGCGACUGCCUGGCCCAACACUGACGCUGAGGUGCGAAAGCGUGGGUAGCAAACAGG